rnacentral:rRNA from 1 species
UGAGUUUGAUUCUGGCUCAGAGUGAACACUAGCGAUAGGCCUAACACAUGCAAAUUGAACGCAUUUAUAUAUAAAUGAGUAGUGUACGGGUGAGUAAUGGAUAAGAAUUUAAUUAGAAAUAUGUUAUUAAAAAACAUAUAAAAAAUAAAAAAAAUUUGUAAUGUUUUUAAAUUUGCUUAUUUUAGUUUUAUGGUAGUUGGUAAGGUAAAGGCUUACCAAGCCGAUAAUGCUUAGCUGGCCUUAGCGGGUGAUCAGUCACAUCAGGGUUGAAAUAAGACCUGAACUUAUUUUAAGGCAGCAGUGUGGAAUAUUAGACAAUGGGCGCAAGCUUGAUCUAGCUAUAUCGUGUAUGUGAGGGAAGAUUCUCGUUGUGUAAAAUAUGUUCGUUAAUGAUAAUAAUGAUUAAGUUAAAAAAGAAGUUCCGGCUAAUCUCGUGCCAGCAGCCGCGGUAAUACGGGGGGAGCAAGUGUUACUCAUCUUGACUGGGCGUAAAGGGUAUGUAGGUGGAUAAUAUAAGUUUUAAAUAAAAGGUUAGUUUUUAAUAAUUAUUUAUAAUACUGUUUGUCUUGAGUUUAUUAUAAGGAGAUGGUACUCACAAAGUAGAGGUGACAUUCGGAGAGUUUGGGGGGACUAACAAAGGUUAAUGCAAUUUUCUAAUAUUAAACUGACGCUGAGGUACUACAGCAUGGGUCUCAAAUAGGAUUAGAUACCCUAGUAGUCCAUGCUUUCAACGAUGAAUGCUCAUUAUUGGUAAUGAAUGGAUUAUCAGUUUUUUAGUUAACGCGUUAAGCAUUCCGCCUGCUUAGUACGGUCGCAAGGCUGAAAAGCAAAGAAAUUGGCUGAGAUUUGUCCAAGCGGUGGAACAUGUUGUUUAAUUCGAAAUAACGCGCAAAAUCUUACCAUUAAUAGGAUGCAGAUGUUUACAUAAAGUUUAGUUUUAUGUAAUAUAUAUUUAUUAAAUUUAUAUAAUAUAUAGAUUCUUUGUAUUUCAGGUGCUGCAUGGCUGUCGUCAGCUCGUGUUGUGAAAUGUUUGGUUCAGUCCUUUAACGAGCGCAACCCAUGUCGAUAAUUAUAGUUAUUGUGAAAACCUAUUAACAAUAGGGGGAAGGAAUGGCGGAUGUCAAGUCUGUAUGGCCCUUAUAUAAUGGGCUACAAACGUGUUACAAUGGUUAUUACAAAGAGUUACAAAAAAGUGAUUUGGAGUUAAACUUUAAAAAUAAUCGUAGUUCAGAUUGUUCUCUGUAACUUGGGAGCAUGAAGUCGGAAUCGCUAGUAAUCGUGAAUUAGCAUGUUACGGUGAAUUUGUUCUCAGAUCUAGUACAGACCGCCCGUCACGCCAUGAAAGUUUAUUUAGUUUAAGGUGAUUUUUGACAUUGAAUAAAGCCCUAACCCUUUAUUUGAUGUUCCCCAAACGCUAGAUGUACGAUUGGGGCGAAGUCGUAACAAGGUAGGGUUAGAGGAAUCUGUUCCUG